UACGAAGGGGGAGCUAGCGUUGUUCGGAAUCACUGGGCGUAAAGCGCACGCAGGCGGAUCGUUAAGUCGGGGGUGAAAUCCCGAGGCUCAACCUCGGAACUGCCUUCGAUACUGGCGAUCUUUGAGUCCGGGAGAGGUGAGUGGGACUCCGAGUGUAGAGGUGAAAUUCGUAGAUAUUCGGAAGAACACCAGUGGCGAAGGCGGCUCACUGGCCCGGUACUGACGCUCAGGUGCGAAAGCGUGGGGAGCAAA
rnacentral:rRNA from 1 species